rnacentral:rRNA from 1 species
AUACGUAGGGGGCGAGCGUUGUCCGGAAUGAUUGGGCGUAAAGGGCGCGUAGGCGGCGCGGUAAGUCUGGAGUGAAAGUCCUGCUUUCAAGGUGGGAAUUGCUUUGGAUACUGCCGCGCUUGAGUGCGGGAGAGGUUAUCGGAAUUCCCGGUGUAGCGGUGAAAUGCGUAGAGAUCGGGAGGAACACCAGUGGCGAAGGCGGGUAACUGGACUGCAACUGACGCUGAGGCGCGAAAGUGUGGGGAGCAAACAGGAUUAGAUACCCUGGUAGUCCACACUGUAAACGAUGAAUGCUAGGUGUAGGGGGUAUCGACCCCUUCUGUGCCGCAGUCAACACAAUAAGCAUUCCGCCUGGGGAGUACGGCCGCAAGGUUGAAACUCAAAUGAAUUGACGGGG